rnacentral:rRNA from 1 species
CAGUCGCCACGGGAAUACAGAGGGUGCAAGCGUUAAUCGGAAUUACUGGGCGUAAAGCGCGCGUAGGUGGUUUGUUAAGUUGGAUGUGAAAUCCCCGGGCUCAACCUGGGAACUGCAUCCAAAACUGGCAAGCUAGAGUAUGGUAGAGGGUGGUGGAAUUUCCUGUGUAGCGGUGAAAUGCGUAGAUAUAGGAAGGAACACCAGUGGCGAAGGCGACCACCUGGACUGAUACUGACACUGAGGUGCGAAAGCGUGGGGAGCAAACAGGAUUAGAGACCCCGGUAGUCCCUGUCUCUUAUAC